rnacentral:rRNA from 1 species
GAGUUUGAUCCUGGCUCAGAGCGAACGCUGGCGGCACGCUUAACACAUGCAAGUCGAACGAAGGCCCGGAGCUUGCUCCGGAUACCUUAGUGGCGGACGGGUGAGUAACGCGUGGGAAUCUACCUUACGAUGGGGAAUAACAGUUGGAAACGACUGCUAAUACCGCAUACGCCCUCCGGGGGAAAGGCUUCGGCCGUCGUUAGAGGAUCCCGCGUUCGAUUAGCUAGUUGGUAGGGUAAUGGCCUACCAAGGCAACGAUCGAUAGCUGGUCUGAGAGGAUGAUCAGCCACACUGGAACUGAGACACGGUCCAGACUCCUGCGGGAGGCAGCAGUGGGGAAUAUUGGACAAUGGGGGAAACCCUGAUCCAGCGAUGCCGCGUGAGUGAAGAAGGCCUUAGGGUUGUAAAACUCUUUCACCCGUGAAGAUGAUGACUGUAGCGGGAGAAGAAGGUCCGGCUAACUUCGUGCCAGCAGCCGCGGUAAUACGAAGGGACCUAGCGUAGUUCGGAAUUACUGGGCUUAAAGAGUUCGUAGGUGGUUAAAAAAGUUGAUGGUGAAAUCCCAGAGCUUAACUCUGGAACUGCCAUCAAAACUUUUUAGCUAGAGUAUGAUAGAGGAAAGCAGAAUUUCUAGUGUAGAGGUGAAAUUCGUAGAUAUUAGAAAGAAUACCAAUUGCGAAGGCAGCUUUCUGGAUCAUUACUGACACUGAGGAACGAAAGCAUGGGUAGCGAAGAGGAUUAGAUACCCUCGUAGUCCAUGCCGUAAACGAUGUGUGUUAGACGUUGGAAAUUUAUUUUCAGUGUCGCAGCGAAAGCAAUAAACACACCGCCUGGGGAGUACGACCGCAAGGUUAAAACUCAAAUGAAUUGACGGGGACCCGCACAAGUAGUGGAGCAUGUGGUUUAAUUCGAAGAUACGCGCAGAACCUUACCAACACUUGACAUGUUCGUCGCGACUCUAAGAGAUUAGAGUUUUCGGUUCGGCCGGACGAAACACAGGUGCUGCAUGGCUGUCGUCAGCUCGUGUCGUGAGAUGUUGGGUUAAGUCCCGCAACGAGCGCAACCCUUACUUUUAGUUGCCAUCAUUUAGUUGGGCACUCUGAAAGAACUGCCAGUGAUAAGCUGGAGGAAGGUGGGGAUGACGUCAAGUCCUCAUGGCCCUUACGUGUUGGGCUACACACGUGCUACAAUGGUAUCUACAACAGGAAGCAAAACAGCGAUGUUAAGCAAAUCCCGAAAAGAUACCUCAGUUCGGAUUGCACUCUGCAACUCGAGUGCAUGAAGCUGGAAUUACUAGUAAUCGUGGAUCAGCGUGCCACGGUGAAUACGUUCCCGGGUCUUGUACACACCGCCCGUCACACCAUGGGAGUUGGUUCUACCUUAAGGCAAAGCUUAAAACCUUUGACCACGGUAUAGUCAGCGACUGGGGUGAAGUCGUAACAAGGUAACC